GGCCACUGUCGAAAGACGUCGAAAGAGGCGCUGAAUCGCGCUCUCAAGGCGGUAGCGCGGGUUCGAAUCCCGUCGGGGCUA
rnacentral:tRNA from 1 species